rnacentral:rRNA from 1 species
UCGGAAUAACAGUUAGAAAUGACUGCUAAUACCGGAUGAUGACUUCGGUCCAAAGAUUUAUCGGCAAGGGAUGAGCCCGCGUAGGAUUAGGUAGUUGGUGGGGUAAAGGCCUACCAAGCCGACGAUCCUUAGCUGGUCUGAGAGGAUGAUCAGCCACACUGGGACUGAGACACGGCCCAGACUCCUACGGGAGGCAGCAGUGGGGAAUAUUGGACAAUGGGCGAAAGCCUGAUCCAGCAAUGCCGCGUGAGUGAUGAAGGCCUUAGGGUUGUAAAGCUCUUUUACCCA